UGGGGAAUAUUGGACAAUGGGCGAAAGCCUGAUCCAGCCAUGCCGCGUGUGUGAAGAAGGUCUUCGGAUUGUAAAGCACUUUAAGUUGGGAGGAAGGGCAUUAACCUAAUACGUUAGUGUUUUGACGUUACCGACAGAAUAAGCACCGGCUAACUCUGUGCCAGCAGCCGCGGUAAGACAGAGGGUGCAAGCGUUAAUCGGAAUUACUGGGCGUAAAGCGCGCGUAGGUGGUUUGUUAAGUUGGAUGUGAAAUCCCCGGGCUCAACCUGGGAACUGCAUUCAAAACUGACUGACUAGAGUAUGGUAGAGGGUGGUGGAAUUUCCUGUGUAGCGGUGAAAUGCGUAGAUAUAGGAAGGAACACCAGUGGCGAAGGCGACCACCUGGACUAAUACUGACACUGAGGUGCGAAAGCGUGGGGAGCAAACA
rnacentral:rRNA from 1 species